GAGAUUUAAAUUUUAUUAAAUUUUAAGCAAUUAUUAAAGAAAAUUCACAUAUUGGGUUUUUUUUUUUUAAAGAGAGCUUUUCUCAAACAGACCAUAACAACUUCAUGUUUCACUAUUUUAGGUCUUAAAAUCUUCAGGUGUCAUGAAGUGGUAUUAACGGAGAAAGACUGUGAGAGUCUGAGAGAAAACACUUUCAGUGAGGCAAUCAGAAUCAGAUUGGCAGCAAUAAUUUAUGUCUGGACACCGCAAAAAUAGACAAAUAGACCACCAAAGUUGUUUAGAGUAGACCGGUAACAUUUUUUUUUUUUUUAAAGAAACACCUGAUAACCAAGCACAGUCCUAAAAUUUAGAGUCCACAGUUCAGAGAAAUGAAGGAAGGUCAGUCCACAAGGUGGUCUUUCUAAAGAGAAAAGGGAAACAGCUAAGCACUAAGAGGUCACAAGGCACAUGAAACACAUAAAAGCCCCACUCAUUAAACUUAGAGAUCUGGCCCUGAAAGAGCAGGCUUUUUUUGUUUUUUACUAAAAGGCAUACCAUUUGUGGGUCGCUUUAAUCCAAAAAGAUUUACAAUAUUGCCUUGUUUUCUAAAGGUUGCCGCUACCCUCACCCCCACCUCUAAUUUCUUCCUAUAAAUGCUAGCUAGCAAAAUAGCAUUUAAAUGUAUGUAAGAACAUGAAAACAUGUUAUGCAAACAUAACCACAAGUCUGAGAAGUUUAGGUUUAUUCAACUUCUUCAGUUUGCUUUGACCCAAACAUGAUGUUGUUUUAACUUGUACAUACAUUUACUGUGUCAUAUUGCUCACAGAUACCAGUUUCAAAAACUCAGUUCUCCUUUGACAGAAUUACUAUUUACCCUGCACGGCUGUAUCAGCACCCAGGACGAUGGCACAUUCUUGCCUACCUCUCAACGCACAUCACCUAAAGUAUUAAAACAAAACACUGAGGGUGAUCUGAGCUAGGGAGAGAGUCAGAAAUAACAUGAUUUUAUCUAGGCUUCUUCCAUAACAAGUUGUGAGAACCAGGCAAGUCUCUUAAAACCUUGAAGUCUCAGUUUUCUCACGGUAUUUGGUUAAAAUAAGGGUUCUGAGCUUGAUACCCCAAAUCUCUUUCAGCUAUACAUGUUUUUUGUUUGUUUGUUUCCUGCAAUUAAUAAAGAAAUGUAAGACAUCCAAGUAGGGAACAAAAAGUAAAACCAUCUCAGUUAGCAGAUAUAACCUUACAUGUAGAAAGCACUAAAGAUCCUGCAAAACCAAAGUAAAACAGAACUGAAAUACACACACACACAAAAGCCACACACACGUUAAAGAUUCUCUUUCAAUACUGACUGAUUGGAACUUUGUGCUUUUGGACAGCUGGAAUGUAGAUAUUCAGAAUCAAAUUAUCUUGAACUAUUUUUAAUCCCCAGUAGCCAUCCAUUGCUCACUGUGUCUGACCUAACACCCUUAUGACUGUCACAUGAAGCUUUUUGGGGUGUAUUAACUUAAUAGAGCAACAAACUUCACCAACCAAAAUGCUAAGCAUGUAUCAGAUAACAUCUGAAACCUGUGGCAGAGAUUUUCCUGGAUUAUUACAGCCCACCUUCCUCAUAUUUCUAUCCUGUAUUUGAAAAGGGCCUUGAUCCAGACUUUCUUUUGUUCUGUGGUUAUAAAAACGUCAAAAAAAUGUUAAGGUUGGAACACAGUAGUUGGAAUAACCUGAAGCCAUGUUCUCAGAUAUGGAGUCAUGUUUAGCUCCAGAAUAACUAUCUUUUAUCCUCUUUGAAGUGAGAGCUGUGUUUUUCUGUCAAAAACAAAAUAAAACACCGUAUAAUUAACAAAUGAAUUCAGGAAAAAGACAGUAGGCUAGGUCAACAGAAAAGAUUGGUUGUAUUUCUAUAUACUAAUGAACAAUCUGAACAGGAAAUUAAGAAGAUAAUUUCAUCUGCAAGAAUACAAUAUUUAGGAAUUAAUUUAAUCAGUCAGGUGGGACUUGUACAGUGAAAGGUACAAGCACUGCUGCUGGAAGUGAGAGGGGAAAUAUAGAAAUACAUUCCUACCCAUGAACCGGAAAACUCAAUAUUGCUAACAUUUCAACACUACAUAAAGACAAUAUACAUGAUACUGCUUAUGUGAAAUAUUUAGUGUAGACAAAUCGUAGACAUAGGAUAGGAUGUCAGGACCUGGUGAAGGGAAUAAGGAAGGGGUGGUUGAUGGACAUACACUUUUAGCUGUAUAAAUGUAAGUAAUUAUGGAGGUAGAUAGUGGAAAUAGUCACUAGCCACUAUAAGUCACAAGCCACUAUAAAUAUAUUGCAUAUCAUUGACCGGUACAUUUUAAACUGAAUAUACUGAUAAAUUUUAUUUUGUGUGCAUUGCUUUACCACAAUUGAAAACUUGAAAGACAAUUCCAUGAUUGCGUAAAAACAAAAGAGGAAAAUUACCAUAACUUGAAUACCAUGGAAAGAUGGUAAAAGUGGUGAGUUUAUUUAGUAUCCGAGGUUCUUCUCACUUGUUUCUCCACCCCCACCACAUCUAUAAAUAACUAAGAAGUAUGGGCAGAAAGGCUAAGUGUGGUUUACUUCUUAAAGCUGGUUUCUUCAUUUAAAUGUUUAAACAAUCCUAUAUGCACUCUAUUCUGGAAGAACGUGUAAAUGGAUAAUUCUAGAACUAAGCACCUUAAAUUCAUUGCUCAAACUUGAACUGUAUAUCUGUUUUGUGCCAAUAAAGUUGGAUAACAUUUUGCAAAUAAAUAAGGAUUCCAGUACCUGUCAAACAUGGGAAGAAGCACGGACAAUUUUAUACUGAGGCAUAGCCGAAAUAGUGCCAUAACAAACAUGAAGCGAGAAUCUUUUGCUCCCACUAAGCUUUUAAAGCUAGUCGGCAAAAGCUGUACUGGUGACGUGCAGUCCAGUGUGUAGAAUGAAGCUGGUGCUUGUGGUGCAGGACAAUCAAGGGGCUUAGAAAGGGAAGAGACUUGCAAAUCUGUACUUGCUAAGAACCAAUGAGAAUCAAAACAGUCUUGACUUUCUUGUGAAGCAUGGGUAGUAAAGGUUAUUGUUCUUUUUUAAACCUAGGUCUUUAUAUAAUAUACAAUAAACCAACAUAUCUUAUUGACUAACAGAAUGCUGACUAGAUAAAAACAAGUAGAUCUAAAACAGGUUUAUUUACUUUUUAAAAACCUUUAAAUACUAUAACUUUCAAGGCCAUCAAAAUUUUAUGUAUUGCUAUUGUUGACACACUUUAAUGUAAUUCUAUCUUGAAAAGCCCAAGAUCAUACUUGGGGUGUGUACCCUUGUUUUAUUAAUUCCCUCUCUCUCCCUUAUCAAUGUCCCUACUAAAACUGUAUUAAAUUUAUUUUUAAUAAACCUUGCUUUAUAAGUCUCAUCCUAAGUUUCGCUGCUGCUGCUGGUUUGCAGCAAGGUAAAAUAUUCUGGCUUCAGCUGAGUAGAGGUCUCUAAGGAGUACACCUUGGACUGAUAUACACAACAACAUGGAGUAUAGCCUAUUCUGUAACCCACUACCACUCACACUUGCCAUGUAAAUCCUUUUUUAAAAAAAUCAAAGCACAUUUCCAAAGCACACUUUUCCCACCCCUAUUUGAUCAUAUGGGUUUAACAGAAAUUUUCCACUGAUCUGCAUUUUAUCUAUAACCAGCCCUAGCCUUUUCCUAACUGCUUUCCUUCUCAAAAGCUAUCUUCCAUACAUUUAUUUUGACCCAAUUUCAGCUAUGUAAAAGGGUAAAAGAUAACCUCAAACACUCUUUUCAGAUUCUCUACCCUUCAGGCAAUAUUAAAUAAUAUUCUUUAGGAUAAUUAAUAUAAAAUAUUUCUAAAUUAUUUUUCUGGAGGAGCUGAUACUAGUAUAAUUCACAUGUUACUUCAAAAUCAGGCUUUUUUUUUUCCUUGUCAGAAUUAAAUUCUUUUGGACAUACUUUGGCUAAGAUAUUCUUAUGUAGUGAUUACUUUUAACUGCUAAAAGUUAUCAGGCACGGAAUUUGUUCCAGGUGCCUCUAAAAUGGCUUCCAUCGAUUUUGCCUCCUGUGUUAUCUAUCCUCUGCCUCUCUAAUGUGGGUUGGGUUAAAGACUCUUAACAAACACACUAUGAUAGCAGUGAUAGGAUAUCACUUCUAAGAUUAGAUUAUAAAAUAUAGUUAUCUUCCCUCAGUUGGAUGCUUUCUCCCAGCUUGUCUGUUGUAGGGGAAAUCAACAGCCAUACUAUACUCUAAGGGGGUUUUCUGAAGAAAACCCACUUAGCGGAGAAUCUAGGGCAGCUGGCAACUAUGUGCAUGCACUUGGAAGUGCACCCUUAGUCCAUCUCAGUGCAGUCUCUCAAUAGUAUCACAAGUCCCAAACACAGCCUAACUACGACCUCAAGAAACAAGCUGAACUACUCUGUUGAACGUUGCCCUGAUACUUGACUCAAAGAAACCAAGAUAGUACAUGUUUGUUGUUUUAAGCUGCAUUAAAUUUGGGGAUAAUCAUAAACCAGCAAUAUGAAACUAAUGACGAUACUUAGGUAAUUGUUAAUUUAGAAAAACUGUAUAAGCAAGAAGUUUCUGAAUUAACCUGAAAAUAAUAAAUUUAUUUAUUGUUCAUUCUGAGACCUGCUCUACAUUGUAAAAACAAAACAAAAACAAAAACAACAACAACAACAACAAAAACCUUUCACAAAGGUAGCCGGAAGCUCUUCUCGUCGGAGUGAAAGUGCCAAAGUCCAAAGAACCAAAGCAAAGAGAAGAGUACUUAGUGACCUGUUGCAAAACCAUACUUCCAAGCCUUUGGAAGGCCAAGAAAAAGGAUUGCUAGCUAGGGACAGUCGGGGCUACACAGUGAAUUCUGAGCCAGCCUGGAGUACACAGGAGACCUUGUCUCAAAAUACAAACAAAAACGGAGUGCAAACACUGACAUGAACAACAGUUUGUAUUCAAUUGCAGUAUUGAGGGUAAUGAAGAGAAUAUGGCGCGCGCGCGGGGUGGGGGUCUUUACAAAUAAAUGUCUCAUUUAUAAAUUAAGUAGUCACAAUUAUUAAUUAGUAAAUACAGAACGAAAAAUAAACCAGAAAUAUAUCGAGUAAGAAUUGCAAACUUCUAUGGUUUUUGUCUAGACAAUGUGUACUGAGUAAUACGAUGUGGAAAGUGGAGCGUAGCCACAGAAAAACAAAACGAAAAGGAAAGUGUUGAACCAAUUUUACAGUCUGUUUGGAGACUGUAGCAACUAGCAAUCAGCGGAGGUCUUAAACUGGAUAUGUUUGAAUUCGUAUUAAGGGGACGCCGUAAGAAAUGAAGCGUGCCUUGGCAUCGAACGACGCUGUAACCACCACAAAAGCAAUACGUGAAACUGAAGAAAGUAACCUCCACCGUUUGUCAUCUUUCAAGAGGGACGACACCACGUCGCUACCGCGAGUCCCAAAUCGACCUCUAUACCAAUGGCCUAGAAACAGAAGAGACUCACACCCGCCUCUCGAUUCUGAUACACCAUUUUAAUAAGCCACCGCUGCUGUCACUCAAAAUGUCUCACAGUACCCAUUGGUCCUAAACUGUUGCUUGCUGGGCCAGGGCUAUCAAGUGGCAAGCAUCCCUACCCCUCACUUCGGAGGAGAAAAGUGAGAGCGUCCGGGCGGGCGGAAGAAGCAAGGCAUUGGAAGCCUCUGUGCCGACGCGAGUACCUGAGCGACCUGGGAUCUCCACCGCCGCCGCGACGACUCGGCCUGUGGGCGGGGGCUGUCAGCCGAGAAGAAAAUGGCUCAGCCGGGAACUGGUGCCCAAGCCAUGGAGAGGCCUGUCCAGAGCGCACGUGUUCGCGCUGGAGAACACGAUGGCUGCGAGGGAACCAGAAGCCGCCCCAGACUCCCGCGAAGUCACAGCACCUCUGCCUGCAGAAGCCCGAGUGGCGGACCUUGCAAGGUUUUGACGUUUCCUAUUGUUGCCGGAAGUGACGUCGAGGAGCGGCUCCUUAAAGGAAAAAGAUUUCCGUUUUCCUCAUUCAGAUUCGCCAAAAAGUCUUUACUUUUCCGCUUCUCAUUCUGAACUGCUUUGGCCAUCAAAAUUAUGCUAAUUUGAAAUGUGACAUUCAAUAAAAGACAUGUAAUUGAUAAGACUUUAACGACAGUAGAGUAUCCUGAAGAAGCUGCGCGAACGGAGUGUGGAAUCUGCAUCUAGGAAUGCCAGCAUUUGGGGCAGCCUCUGGCUCGGAAUGUUUAGCCGCUGUUCGAACUCUCGGCUCGAACUCUGAGUUCUAAAAACAAACCGUCGGCACGAGGGGCGACCCGAGGCGCGGGCGUAAGGCUCUGGGGCUGCAGACCCGGUUCCCGCCACGUUCUCGGGUUUCUAGUGCUCCCUUCUUCUUUCUGUGUUGGUACGGUAGCCUUGGGAACCUUUCAGUUUGCUUAGGGGCUGCUGGCUGAGCCAGAGCUCGUGGACCUGCUGUGCUCUGGCUUGGACGAAGGUGGCCCUUCUGCUGUCCUCACCGAGGUUCCUGGGUUGUAGGCGAAUGAUCAGAUGAGAGGCUGUAAGAUUAUUUGAGAGUUGGAGCUGAAUCGGAAUAUAAUGGCAACAGGUGACUUAAAGAGAAGCUUGCGGAAGCUAGAACAAGUGCUUCGGUCACUGAAUUACCCCAAUGAGGUGGAUUAUGUCGGCCUGAUAAAGGGAGACACAGCAGCAUCCUUGCCCAUCAUCAGCUACUCUCUCACCUCAUACUCGCCUUACGUAGCCGAACUCCUAAUGGAAUCCAGUAUAGAGCUCAUAGCGAAGAACGACGUGCGCUUUACAGAUACUGUCUACAAGCUUCUUCGUGAUCAAUUUGAUUAUAAACCAAUUUUGACAAAAAAGCAAUUUAUACAGUCUGGAUUUGCUGAAUGGAAAAUUGAAAUUGUCUGUGAUAUAUUGAAUUGUGUGAUGAAAAAACACAAGGAAUUGAUUGGCCUUGACAAGAAUUCAUCAUGCCAAAGGAAGAAGAAUGUUUCUGAGAAGCCAGAACCUUGUUCAAACAGUGAGAAACGCCCUGCAGAGGCUGUUGGCAUUGACAUCACGGGCAGGUUUAUGACGUCGGGAAAGAAGAAAGCUGUGGUGAUCCGCCACCUGUACACUGACGAGAAGGUUGGCGUUCCUGAAGGGACAGUAACCUUAGCAGACAUCAGUCAAGGCUGCAGUGAGUCAGCAGAGCAGAGUUCUGACAUUCGGAUUCCUGAGGCCCAGGACCCUGAGGUCAAGGCUGAGCUGCAAGAUAUAUGUGAUCAUCCUGAGAUUACCGCACUUCAGAUCGCACUGGCCGAAUGUCAGGAAAAGCUGAAGCAGCUGACUUGGAUAGAGAAACGGCUUGAGCGUUUGGAAGCUGCAACACACGGGAAAGUGAUGGUCGACGAGAAGGCCUGGAACAACCUUCUAAGUCGUGUCACUCUUCUAGAAACGGAGAUGCUGUUGUCCAAAAAGAGUGAAUCUGUAGAGCGUAAUGUGGCAAGUCAAGACUGUGAGUCAAUUAGUGAUGUGGACUUUGUACCCUAUGGUCAGCCGUGAACUCAUGCUGCUCAGCUCCCUACGUGUGUGUAAUUACAAGCAUGCACCACAGAGCCCAAAGGCAUUCUAAAACUUUUAUUAAUUUUUAGCAUCUGCCUCUAUAAGAAAAAUGUAUGAAAAACUCAUUUUAUCUAUACCAGAUAAAAACUACAGUGUGGGGGGAGCAGCAGGCAACUACCGCUCGUCUGGCUGUAGUGCAGUCUCAUCAGAAACAGCACCCGGGAGCUCCAUUGUUAAUUACUGUGUCUUGAGAGAGUUCUCAGAGGUAAGAGAGCCUGUCAACUGCUUCGAUGAUUUCUAAGGUCGAGAAGAAACAAGUACUGUGUUUAUAUAUAGUGUGUAUAGUAGGGUAUGGUAUAGUGUUGGCAAGAACAUGGUGACUUACAAAUGUAAUCUCUCAAGGGGUCUGUGUGUUGACUAGUCUCUGUAGGCAGUGUUCCCCAGUGUGUCUUCUAUAGCCAUGGUCUGUCUUUGAGGAUUGUUUACUUUGAGAAAUUGCCUAAAUUUGUUGCUUUUCAAAUUAAAGGAAACAACUAUCCAGAAAAUGGAAAGGAUGAAAAAAAUGUAAGUAACAGAGAGGGUGAGAGAAGCCAUUGCUCUGUAGGAGCUGCCUUGGAGUGCCGUGUGGGCAGACUGGGCUUGUGUGUUCACACCUUGAAGUCUCCAUCAGCUGUGGCUUUUCCUUCAGACUCAGUGGGUCAUUGCUUUGCUUCCUGUGUGUGUGUGUGUGUGUGUGUGUGUGUGUGUGUGUGUGUGUGUGUGUGCUGAGUCAUUUUGUUGGCUCCCAACAAGUAGUGUAACACACUGUCCACAGAGUUAAUCAUAGUUACAGAGGGCAGAGAUGUUGCUAAUUAAUUCACAUCUUUCUACUUGUGCUGAUUGGUUUCCCAAACCCUUGUGAGCAUGUAGCUGGAUAGUUGGGGACAUUUUCAGUUGUUAGUCCUGCUGGCUUUGGGAUGCUGUUGAUAAAGGAGCACAGUGCUGAUGCUUUCAUUGGGACAGGGGGGCAGUGCAUCUAGUUUUGGCAAAGAGCAGUGUAAAGAAAAUAUAUGAUGAAAUGGUAUCACAAUAUUAUGUACUCUACUACAUUAAAAAAGUACAAAGCUCUUUAACAUUAGCAAACUUCUAAAAUAACUUAGGCUAUGAGGGUUGACUUAUUUAUUUUUUUCUCUCUUCUAUGUGCAUGUAUUAAUGUAAUUAUAUGUAAAAAGAGGAACACUCAGUUUAUCUCAGGGUCAGAAACAAACAAAGUCCUGUCUUCCAUUAUGAGCCCUGCCCUUAGCUAACACAGCAUUUGUUCUGUUCCAGGUUUGAAGAGACAGCAGAGUUACUGAAAUGCUCAAGUCGCUAACUGUAGAAUGUUCUGCAUAAUCGCUCCUAGGACUUUGGCUACUUAUAUAUAUUCUAUAUUUAAGAAUUCUGUAUAUAAUUUUAAUAUACGAUAGUUUUUAUUAAGAAUUUGGAUUCUAUUUGAUAUGUGAGCUUUUUCAUUCUUAAAUAAAUACUUUUAAUAUUUUAAGCUGUAUAUGUGCCGAUUUUCUCUUCCAGUUUUCUUGGCAAAACUUUCUGUCUCAGUAUAUUGCUCUUACAGUGUGAAGUCAUUACAGCACGCUCUGUAGUUUUGUGUUGACAUUCACUGGCAGUGAGCUAGGUAAUAUGUUUUUGAAAGUAUGGGUUGGAAGACAUGGUCUGCAUCUUGCUGGAGAUAGUCCAACUGGGACUUGCAUAUUGUACUCAGGAGGCUCUCAUAUGUACAAUCUUAGCGUAUGUGUUGGUGAACCAGUUGUAACGCUCACUGAAAACUAAACAAAUCUAGUUCUUCAUGGGUAGUCAGUGCUGCUUUAUCACUGCAGUGGUGACAGCGGGCGUCUUCUGUGUGUUUGCUGAGGGAACUGUGUCGGGUGUGUGAAUACUCUGCUCUAUAACCCUAGACCGUCAGCCCCGACCCAGAUGCUGGCCCUCCAUGGGAUAUGCAGUGGAGGUGCUCUGCACUUUCUAAUGAUGGAUCGUUAACAACGUUUAAGGAGAGGAAAGGUCUUAAAGUUAAAGUGAAAGAAAAUCAAAGUCACUGAGAAAGUUACUAUGUGAAUACCUUCUAACGUUGUAAAUGAAUAUAUAGCAAUAGUAAUUCUGGGUAAUAGUCAAAAUUAUAGGAAGUUAUCUUUUUAUUUUUUACAUCAGUCACCUCAUUAUACUGUAUAAUUUUAUUUUAAUGUUAAGUAGAAAAUUAAGCUAUAACUAGAAAUAACUUGAGGAAAACUUUAGUAUUCUAAGAAAUGUUUAAUGUUUACACUUUUAAAGUGUAAUCUUUUAUGUUAGCAUUUAGAAGCAUACAACCUUGAAUUUAGUAACAUUUCCAAAGCAUAUCUAGAAUUCAUGUUUUUUGAAUUUCCAGGUCACUUAAGUUAGAAAAAUGAAGAGAAUUCAGUUGUGAAAUGCUGUUAUGUCCCCAGUAUGAGAACCAGCAUGGACUCACAGCGCCACCUUGUGGUCUCCACGCCACUCCGUUGGCUUUUAAUAAAACAAAUGAAUCCUCAUAAAACUCCAGAUUUUUGAAAAA